CUACGGGUGGCUCCAGUGGGGAAUAUUGGACAAUGGACCAAAAGUCUGAUCCAGCAAUUCUGUGUGCACGAUGAAGGUCUUCGGAUUGUAAAGUGCUUUCAGUAGGGAAGAAGAAUGUGACGGUACCUACAGAAGAAGCGACGGCUAAAUACGUGCCAGCAGCCGCGGUAAUACGUAUGUCGCAAGCGUUAUCCGGAAUUAUUGGGCAUAAAGGGCGUCUAGGUGGUUUACUAAGUCUGAUGUGAAAAUGCGGGGCUCAACUCCGUAUUGCGUUGGAAACUGGUUUACUAGAGUCUUGGAGAGGUGGGCGGAACUACAAGUGUAGAGGUGAAAUUCGUAGAUAUUUGUAGGAAUGCCGAUGACGAAGGUAGCUCACUGGACAAGUACGGACACUAAAGCGCGAAAGCUAGGGGAGCAAACAGGAUUAGAUACCCGGGUAGUC
rnacentral:rRNA from 1 species